ACGAAGGGGCUUGGGCCUGGGGGUGCAGGGUGGGGGAAGAUAACCAGGGUCCGAAGAGGAGAAGGCGGGACCCCUGGCCUGUGGAGAUUGAACCUCCGUUCCAGGCCAGGGCCAUGGCUGAGCAGCUGGGAGGAGAGGCAGCCCCACUGCUGCUGAGAAGAGUGGUGACCAUAACCUGGGCUUGUCUCUUGACUGCAACACAAAUUGCUGGGGAAGCUUAGGUGACUCACCUGCCCAUGACUCAAUUCCCUCGUCUGUACUCGGAGCUAAUAUAUUCCUUAGUUCAUACGCCUGUUGCUGAGGAUCAAAGGAGAUGGAUUUACCCAGUGCCUGGCAUGGGGGUGGGGUGGGGGGCGGGGGGCUGUUCUGCUUAUUGCUGUUACUUGAAUUUUCCAUCCUGCCUCCUAGGGGUCUUGUACCUGGAAAGAAGAUAAGCUUUGGGUCAGACAGACUUAAAUUCCUGCCUGGCCACAUAGCAAGCAUAAGGCUUUGGGCAGAAGGCCUCUUGUCUUCUGAGCCCCACUUUUCUGACCUGUAAGAUGGAGACACCCGUGUUCUACUCCAGGGGCCGAUGUGUCAUCCAGGCAGGAUUGGCUUAUCUGUGUCCCCAUCCAGCCCGUGGAUAAUGACGAAGGGUGUGGCCCGCCCUGGUUCUCAGUGAGGUUCUUGGGAUUUCGUAGUGAGGGAUCCAGGCCAGCCCUGCCCUGCUGGGGUUCAUGACGAGCAGAAAUAGCUCAGUUGCAUAACAGUUAGGAGUGCCUGCUGGUUAUGAUGGGGGUGUCCAGGGCAAUGGCAUGUAGUAGGUGACCCGAGCCUCAGAGCGGUGGGUGGGACAUGAAGGAUGUGGGAGAAUCCACCAGGCUGGCAGGGGGAGAGUGGUCUGACAGGGGAGAUGCCCUCCUGGAUGGUCUGGAGAAAGGCGGGUGGCUGGGAGCCAGGGCGAGAGGUGGAAGCCACGGUGGGGGAGCUGGGUGCCUGCUCGGGGGGCCUUGUCCCUCAGGGCAAGCCUUGGCAGGGAUUUAGGUGGAGGGUGUAUGAGGCCCGGAGGUAAGUGUUGAUCCUGUGACAGGAAGAGGCCAGGCCACUGCUGUUGUCCAGGUGAGCGAGGAUGGGGGCCCUGACCAUGGGGCUGAGGGGAGGGGACAAUUUAGAGAGAUUCAAGGGGAAGAAAGGCCCGGGCUUGCUGAUGGCUGGGAGGUGAGGGAGGAAGGGGGAGGCAGCGCAGGCUCCCGGGGCCUCAGCUUGGGCUGUGGGGUGGUGGGUAGUGGGACUUUGCCCUGAGCCACGGGCACUGGAGGCACAGGUUUGGGGAAAGAAGCCAAGAGGUUGCUUCGGGGGCUUGUGGAGUCCCAGGGUGGAGGUGUUCCGGGGACAGAGGCUCCGAGGGUGUGGCGCUCAGGAUGGAGGCCCCCUCGGAGGGCACUGGUCCUUCGGGGUGCUCGGCGCCUGCAGCCAGGUUUGGGAGCACAGAGGGAGAGGGCAAGAGACGGGCCGCACCUUGAAAGGAAGUGGGGGGUGGGGGCCAAGGAGGAGAGUCAGCAAGUGGCUGUAGACCAGGACUGGGGACUAGGAGGGGCCAGCUGUGUGGCUGAGGAAGGGCAACCAGGUGUAGACAGCCCCUUCUAGCCCAACCUUUGAGGACGGCUACUCCUGCCUGCCAGGCAGCCUGUCCCCCGGCUCCUGGUGGCCCCUGAAGCCCACCCACGGUGUCUCCCGGGCAGGGAGAGGAGCUGGCCCCUUUCUGCUCACUGACCAGCUCUGGACAGCAGGGGCUUCCACUCCCAUCUUGACCAGAACCCAGUCUCCCUCGUCACCUAGGUACCAUGGCCUGGGAGUUAGGGGAGGGGCCCUCAAGGCAGUUUCAGGCCCUUGGUCCAUUCAGGGUCCUGAUUGCCAUCCAGAUGUUGGCUUCUCCCACAACCGCAGCCUCUCCUAGGUGCCCCAUCCCCCCCCACCCCGCCCUCAACACCAGUCUGUUCAGAGACAUUGACUAUCAGGCAGAGGGAAGAGGGUGUGACCUCUCCCUGUAGCCACGGACGCAGCACUUGAGCUGGAUGCGACCUUGGAGACCAGCUAGUUCACCUCUCGUUUUAGCAACAGGGAACACUGAUGCCAGGGGAGAGGGCUUGUCUUGUCCAAGGUCACUAGCUGGUUCAGUCUCAGAAGGGCAGCCUUAUCACCACCUUACUUCGACAUUAAAAUGCUUCUGGAGGGCCCUGCUGUGUCCUGCCCGGGGCCCCGGGUCGGUGGUGGUGGGCAGGGCUGCUCUGAGGCAGCCACCGGCCAGAGGAGAGGAGCUCUCAGGCUGAGAUGGGAGCCCUGCCCUCAGGGUGCUCCGAGGAGGAUCCAUUCAUUGAUCCGGUAAAUACUGAUGAGCGCUCACCUUGGGUCUGCUGAGGCGCUAGGAUGCGGGAUGUGGUCUGAGGGGACAGACAAGCUUGCUGCUCUCAGAAUCUUACCAUGAAUCAGAGAAUUCAGACGGGGAGUCAGACAGGCUGGUGUGAUUGCCUUUACGUCGGGAGUGGUGGGGCUGCCUACGGAAAAAACUGAUCAAAAAGGUCUCCCUGAAGAGGGGAUGUUGGGGACCUUCGAGCUCAGACCUGAAGGGCGAGAAGCGGGCAGCCACGUGAAGUGAGAGAAGGGGCUCCCGGCAGAAGGAACAGCAAGCGCAGCCUGGCUGCUGGGGUGGCUCAGUGGUUUUACCCGACCUAUGAACCAGGAGAUCACGGUUCGAUUCCCAGUCAGGCCACAUGCCCUGGUUGCGGGCUUGAUCCCCAGGAGGGGGCCUGCAGGAGGCAGCUGGUCAAUGAUUCUUUCUCAUCAUUGAUGUUUCUAUCUCUCUCCCUCUCCCUCUUUUUUUUUUUU